GCGCGCCCCCUCGUCGGCCCAACUCCCGAAUCCCGAACUUUGGGGAACACUCGGGACUGGCGUUACACGUGUGGGAUCAGCUGUCCUUAUCGACCCGGUGCAAGCCGCUCGACGAUUGGCCCGUCGGCCUCCGUUUCCACCAAUCACAGCCGCCGUCACUGGCAGGCCCCAAGGUCGCUGCCGCUCGCCCGUGAAGUAAACAGCAGCGGCCGGCUCGGCAGACGGCCGGAUAGCGCCCGGUAGAGAGCACUUGAACUGUGAGCUGUCGUGUUGAAUUUCCAACAUGUCUGACCCUAAAGCGCCCGAGGAUGUUGACGAAUACGAGCACUACAACUACGAGUCAGACAAGUUCCUGCACACCAAGGGUGGCAAGGGACGGACGAAAAACGAGGCGGCGAUGAACGAUCACCAAGACCCCGGCGGUCACACGCGGAAAAUCGUCAACAAGCUAAAGAACUCGGAGGAGAAGAAGCUGUCACCAAAGAAUAGCCAUUGAUGUGAGCUUUAAGGUUUUCAUUAUGCUGUGCUGCUUCAUUGCCGACUGACCCAGCCCGCGGCCGAGCGGGCGACCCCACGACCUGCCGCGACCCGUGACGACGCCGGCCGUUGUCAUGGCGACCACCGCGGAGUGGACCGCCCCCGGGGACGCUGCCCGUGGCGGCGGUGACCUCUGACCGCUGCCCCUCGUCCCAGGGGAGGGGCGCGUCUCUGUGGCUGGCUGCUGCCCAGCCCAUCAUGCCGUGACUGUGAUGCACGGGUACAAACGACAAAUACACACCAUCGUGAGUGUAA